rnacentral:rRNA from 1 species
UGUAAACAAGCUUAAGAAGGAUGCCUUAGUAUAGAUAAAGGACAUUGUAUAAUUAAUGAAAAGAGACGAGGAACAAAAAAGCAGUGAUGAUUCGUUUAUAUCCUAGGGUAAACCAUUUUAUUAUAAAAAUUUUUAAUGAGAAUUAAAAUGAAAGACCUAAUGAAUUGAAACAUCUAAUUAGUUAGAGGUUUAAUGUUCUGUGGUAUUACUGGUGAGGGAACCCAUAAAAGAUAAAAAUUACUCAAUCGUAAUUUUUAUUUAGGCUUAUAACGGGGGUGAAUAGAAGAUGAAGGUUCGUGUGUGCUACGUGCUCCUAACCAAAGAGGGUUUUAGUCCCGUAGUUAUAAUUGUUUUCCCCUUUUUUUAAGUAAAAUGCCUGACGUUUGAAGGUAUUUGAAUAUGAAAGUAAUUACUGUCUAAAGCUGGAAUAUUUAUCUGUAACUGAUAGCGUAAUAGUAUCGUGAGAGAAAGGUGAAAAAGAGAAUCAAAUUUGAGGAUUAAAAGAAACUGAAAUUUUAAGCUUUUAAGCGGUUAGAGUAGAUUUAUUGAAUUUAUGAUAGCGUACCUUUUGCAGAAGGGUCCAGCAAGUUAAUUUGUAUAGCGAGCGGUUUGCGUAAAGAAAUUGAGUGUUAAUAGUGCGUUUUAGUUUUAUGAAUUAGACCCGAAACCAAAAGAUCUAAUCUUGAAUAGGCUGAAGUUCUGUGGUUAAAAUGGAGUGGAGGGCCGAACUCGUGUUUGUUGCAAUAAACUGGGAUAAUUUGAGAUUAGGAGUGAAAAGCUAAUCGAUUUUGGUGAUAGCUGGUUUUCUGCGAAAGCUAUUUAGGUAGUUCGUUCUUUUUUAUUUAUUGUGGUAAAGCACUUAUUAGUCUAGGGGGUUACUUAAUAGGUACCUUUGAACCUAGUAAAACUCAGAAUGUAUUUUAUAAUUUUUAGGAGGACAAGGCAGACAUGGGACGCGAAGGCCCUAUUGUCAAAAGGGAAACAACCCAGAUCAUCAGCUAAGGUCCCUAAUUGAGUUUUCAGUGUUUUAAAGGAUAUUUUUAUUUUAUGUAGAUAAGUUGGCUUAGAGGCAGCCAUCUUUUAAAGAAAGCGUAACAGCUCAUCGACAUUUUAAAUUUUACCGAAAAUUUAUAGGGACUAUAAAUAUUUAACCGAAGCUAUGGAUUGUUUUAUAUGAUAAUGGUAGUGGAAUGUUCUGUAGGUUUUAGAAGAUAAAUUGUGAAGUUUGUUGGAGGUAUCAGAAGUAUUAAUGCUGGAAUGAGUAAAGUUUAUUAAUGUUUUUUGGACAUUAACGCUGUAAGGCUAAGGGUUCCUUUAUAAGGUUUUUCCAUAAAGGGUUAAUCGGUCCCUAAGGUUUAGGUAUUAACCGUAGAUUAAUGGGUAAUAUUUUUAUAUUAGUAUAUUUUUAUUAAGUGACACAGAUUUGUAGGAGUUUGUUUUUUAUCGGUUUAAAAUUAACUCUUUAUUUUUGUUGAAAAAAAGCUUAUUUUUUUUAACCGUACUUAUAACUGACGCUAGUAGCUAGGUAGAGAAUAUUAAAGCGUGGAAAUAAUAAGGUCUAAGGAACUCGGCAAAAUGACUCAGUAACUUCGGGAGAAAGAGUGCUUUCCUCUAUGUAGGUGUUUUAGAAAUGAGAUAUCUAGCUUUUGAUUAAUAGAGAUGAAGUGACACAUAAUCGCAAGUGGCGACUGUUUAUUAAAAACACAGGACAAUGCUAAAUAGUAAUAUGAUGUAUAUUGUCUGACACCUGCUCAGUGCCUGAAAGUAAAGGCUGGAAACUAACGUUUUUGGUAUAAGCUCAGGUUAACAGCGGCUGUAACCUUGACGGUCUUAAGGUAGCGAAAUCCCUCGGUAGUUAAUUGCUGCCAUGCAUGAAUGGUGUAACGACUGCUUGGCUGUCUCAGGUUUUAUUUUAAUGAAAAUGUAGUAUCCGUGAAGAUACGGAUUUCCUGUAGCGGGACGUUAAGACCCUAUGCAGCUUUACUAUAAUCAUUUAUUGUUCGGGGAUAUUUAAGUAUGCAGGAUAGUUACUAGCUUAUUAUAUUUUAACGAAAGUUAAUUGUGGAGGCUUCCUUGAGAUAGUAAUUCUUUAAGUUUUUUGGACUAAUUUUUUUAAAAACAUUGUAUGAUUGGUAGUUUCACUGGGGCGGUGGCCUCCCAAAAGGUAACGGAGGCGUACAAAGGUAGUUAAAUCUUUUUAUGAAAGAUUAUUAGUAAUAUUUUUAAUAAUUGCUUGACUGUUUUGAUAGACAUAUCUGGCAGGGACGGGAGUCGGUUAUAGUGAUCCAGUAGCGCUUUUUAGUUAUGGCUAUUGCUUAUCGGAUAAAAGCUACGCUAGGGAUACAGGCUAAUAAUUCCUAAGAGUCCGUAUCGCCGGGAUUGUUUGGCACCUCGAUGUCGGCUCAUCUUUUCCUGGAUAUGUAGUUAGAUCCAAGGGUACGUCUGUUCGACGUUUAAAAAGGUACGUGAGCUGGGUUUAAAACGUCGUGAGACAGUUUGGUCCCUAUCUACUAUGGGAGUUAAAAAUUGAAAGGGUUGUGGGCUAGUAUGAGAAGACUGCAUCUAUCUUAAAAUUAUUCGUAUAUAUAUAUAUAUAAAUAAUACGGCUGUUUAGUUAUUGUAAUUUCUUUGGACAAGAUUUUGGACAAGACUUUGAACAAGAGUUAAUAUACAAAUGUGCAUCAAACCAAUUGUUUUUGGGUUAUAACAUUUUAUGUAUAUCUAGAAGCUACGUUUGUCGAAUAUAACCGCUGAAUUUAUAUAAGUGGGAAGAUUUCCUUAAUAUGAAUUUUUUGUUAAUUACUUUAU